rnacentral:lncRNA from 1 species
AGGGCAAAAAUUAAGAGGUUCGACCAGGAAGUGGACCGAGCGACGUGAGGCAUCGACCGCGGCCUAGGCGGCCGGGAUCGGGUCUUACAAGUUGGUAUCAGAGCAUGCUUGAUCCUGUUUAGGACAACGCUCUAAGAUGUUGAGUUCCAAACCGAAAUUAUUCCAAAAACUAUGAUGACUAUGGAACCUUAGUUGGGGUGAGCCAAGAAAGAGUUGAAGUAAGCUAGGGUAUCAUUGUGAAUGUGGGAGUUCUAAGAUGAACCGGCUUAGCCAAGAUACGUUCUCCAAGGGCAAGAUCCUAAAAACAGAAAGGUUGGUCGAUCUAGUUAUUUAGAAGUAAUAGACGGGUUGGAAGGGAUGGAAGCAAUGCAAAACUUGUUUAUGGAUUACCUGGACAAGGGAAGUAACAUGGACCAGAGAGUGGCUUAGGUUGACAUAAACGUGCAGCACUCUACAAAAGUUAAGUGUUAUCCCUUGAUGGCCGUUCAUAAUAAGUAAAGCAUAUGCAUUGUAAAAUCUGACUCGAAGGAGACACUACAUGACCAGUACACGAGUGGAUUUGUGAUCAGAUGGAUCAGCUAGAACUCGGUAUAGGUCAAGGUAGGUUUCCUUAUAUCUAGUUGGAUGGAAUGAAUCAAUUCCAAUCUGAAUCCAUCCAAGGAAAGAAUGAGGAAACUCAGAGUGUUCAUUCCAAUCAUUGGAAGAACAUGAUGUUAAGUAUCUU